GACAGAGGGUGCAAACGUUGUUCGGAAUUACUGGGCGUAAAGGGCGCGUAGGCGGUGCGGUAAGUCUGAUGUGAAAUCUCCGGGCUCAACUCGGAGUCUGCAUCAGAAACUGCCGUGCUCGAGUGUGGGAGAGGUGAGUGGAAUUCCCGGUGUAGAGGUGAAAUUCGUAGAUAUUGGGAAGAACACCGGUGGCGAAGGCGGCCAACUGGACCACAACUGACGCUGAGGCGCGAAAGCGUGGGGAGCAAACAGG
rnacentral:rRNA from 1 species